GCAACGCGAAGAACCUUACCAGGUCUUGACAUCCCACUGCCCGCUAUGGAGACAUAGCUUUCCCUUCGGGGACAGUGGUGACAGGUGGUGCAUGGUUGUCGUCAGCUCGUGUCGUGAGAUGUUGGGUUAAGUCCCGCAACGAGCGCAACCCUUGAGAUUAGUUGCCAGCAUUUAGUUGGGCACUCUAAUCUGACUGCCGGUGACAAACCGGAGGAAGGUGGGGAUGACGUCAAAUCAUCAUGCCCCUUAUGACCUGGGCUACACACGUGCUACAAUGGAUGGAACAAAGGGGAGCAAAACCGCGAGGUCAAGCAAAUCCCAUAAAACCAUUCUCAGUUCGGAUUGCAGGCUGCAACUCGCCUGCAUGAAGCCGGAAUCGCUAGUAAUCGUGGAUCAGCAUGCCACGGUGAAUACGUUCCCGGGCCUUGUACACACCGCCCGUCACACCACGAGAGUCGGUAACACCCGAAGUCGGUGAGGUAACCUUUUGGAGCCAGCCGCCGAAGGUGGGA
rnacentral:rRNA from 1 species